AGGGAAGAUGGGUCCAAGGGACAGCUUCCGUCUCAGAGGAUGGGUGCAGAGGUGGCACUGUGAGCCAUCGUAGGGGAGCUGGGAGGGCUGACUGGUUUGAGAUAGGAGCAACAGGAGAUUGAAGGAGCAAGUCAUGGGGCUGCAGAGGCUACCAAGCCGGUGUAAAGCCCCCGAAGCCCUGAGAAGAGCAGGUUUUAAGAAGUAGAACGAGUCGUCGUGAUUUCACGCAGCCACUAGAUGCCAGAUAUUGGCUGGCUGUGGGCCUCUGAGGAGUGCUGAGACGGGCCUGGUACAAGUCUGGGUGGGCAGCUUUGGUGGUUGCAGAUGCACAGGUUUCUCGGAGCUGACGUGCUGGCUCCACGAAUCGGCUGCUGGUGCGGCGGUCACAUUCACAGGUGCUGCGGCUUCCAGGCCUGGGGCUCUCUCUACCGACUCAUCCUCUCCAGCCCCCGGGGCCACGUCUGGAGCUUCGUACAGAUGGCAGGCUCCCAGUGAACCUGUGCAGCCAUAUGAGGUGUAAUUUGUGGUAAUUAAGAAAGAGCCUAAGUGGAUCACUCCCAAGAUUUAACGCUUGGCCUCCAGGCUGAUCAACCUCAGGUGUACAGCAGGGCCAUAUGGAGAAGAAUAAUGCCUCAUUAAUACAGUUAAAGAUAUUUUCCAUUAGGAUGCCCAACACUCCUUGGACACCUAAGGGUGCAUAAAUCAUUUUCUCCUAGAAUUUGAUGCCAGGAAAAAGUCUGCUGAGUUCAAACAGUUGGUGAAUAUGUCCUCCUUCCUAAGAAGUAUUUGCUUACUGAUAAUUUAUUUUCUGCCUCUUUCAAAAACCACUUGAAGAUAACAAAAACAAAUGUAGGAUGAAAGAAAUGAUAUUCAGGACAAAGAGGAAGAGGUCAGAAAGCAAAUUGGAAGGGGAGACAGACUCAGAGGCUGCGAUGAUUUUCUCCCCUUGAAAUUGAGCAGUAAAUUUAGCUCUUGCCUGGCAGCUGAGGCAGUUAGACCCAAGUAUAGAGUGUUCAUCAUCUAAUUAAAGAGCAAAACUAUUUGCUCAGAGAAAGGCAUUUUCCAGGAGGUGAAGGAAGACAGCUACAAAAACAGCUGCCGGAUCCUGGUCCACCUGCCACCCCUGGCCCCUCCCGCUCCCCAGGCACUGGGAUGAGUCUGUGGAGGGCCACCUGGCAUCUGUCCCUGGAAGCAAAGUUUAGUUCUCCGCCUUUUCUCUGAGGGCAAAAAAUGGUUCUGUGUCUCCUAUCAGCCUCUUGUUCAGCCCCAGACUAUGCAGCUAAUUGACUUGGAAUAUCUUCACCUCCCACUGGCCCCCUUGCUCUCAAAUCUCUCCUUGUGCAAAAAGACUUUUUUGAUGGCAAUUUGGCUGACACUCCAUGAGCUGUGCCAGUCAGCUGCCAGUGACCCAUCAUAGCAUCAUUCAAAACUGUCAAAAGGUGGAAACAACCCAAGUGGCUGUUGACAGAUGAGCAGAAA